rnacentral:lncRNA from 1 species
UCUUUUAGUUUAAUAUCUUAGUUCAUUUUCUGUUGUUUGUAACAGAAUACCUGACACUGGGUUAUUUAUUUAAUAAGAAAGGUAUUUCUUACAGGUGUGGAGUCUAAGAAGUCCAAGGUUGAGGAGCUGCAUCUGAUGAGAGCCUUCUUGCUGGUUGGGAUCCUCUGCAGAGUCUUGAGUUGGGCAUUAAAAACUGUAUCACAGACACAUGAAUAUUGUAGGCCUCAUCUCCAAGUAUUACCACACUGAGGGUCAAGACUUCAACAUAUGGUGGAGAGCAGGAGAUCACAGCCACUUUGGAGGAUCUGAACUCCAAUUCUGUUUGCACACUAGAGGCCCUGUUGCUGUCUGCUAUGAUUCAACAGCCCUGUUCCCUAACUGUCCUCAGGGUGCUCAGUUUUCUUCUCUUGGAGAUUGAGUACCUCAGUUCUGGAGACUGGAAAAUCCAAAACCACGGCACCAGCAUCUGGUGAAGAUCUUUUCAUGGCAAGAGAGAAAACACAUGCAUGUCAGCUCAAAUCUCUUUCUCUUUUAAUAAUGUUGCUAGUCCCAUCAUGGAGGCCCCAGCCUUAUGACCUUAUCUAAUGCUAAUUACAUCCAAAAGGCUCCACCUCCAAUCAACAUAUGAAUUUGGAAAUUAGGUUUCCAAUACGUGAAAUUUGGGAAAUGUAUUUAAACCACAAACAGCCAGUUUAAAAGAUUUUGCAUUGAAUAAUAAAAGUGAACCAACAAAUGUAU